CUGGGCUGGGGUCCCUGGGCUGGGGGGAAGGCGGCUCUGGCGCCGAGAGCUUCCGUGGCUCUCAGGUACGUUUGAGGGGGUGACUGCGUGAAAAAAGGGAAUGCGAAUGUAUAGCAGAAACACACGGGUCAUGCUCAGGUGUGACCACAAGUGUUAUUUAGUACUUUUACGUGCCAUUUUAAGGCGAUUUUUAAAUAUUUUUUUUUACUGGCUUGACUUGCUGUGGACAACACAGUGUCCAGCCGUGCUGUGGGUAUGGCUGCCUGUUUGUUUCAUAGAAUCCUAGAAUGCCAGUUUGGAAGGGACCUCAGGGAUCACCUGGUUCAACAUCUCUAAGUAGGAACACAGUUUAGAUAAGAGAUUUCAGUCCUGAAUAAUUGUUUUAUUGUACUGAGUAAGUGUAAUAGAGGGUCUAAAGUGUCUCAAAUCUUCUUAUUGUUGAUCAGUUACAUGAAAACUGGAGCUUGGCUAAAAAACAAAACCAGCAGUGACCUGAAGCCUCGGCUGUGUAGGAGCCUGGGUCUCCAAAGCUGGUGGGGUGUCCCCGCCAGCAAGCGGCGCUUCCAACACUGUAGGGGUGAGCUUUUCCCAGGGCAGGGUACCUCCCUCCCAGGUGGUGAGUGCCCAAGCCCUCUGAGCUCCUCUGAGAGCCCCCAGCCUGAAGAUGCUGGCUCUGCACUUGCCCUCCUGCCUGGCGGGACAUGAUGAGGAGGCAUCUGAGCAGCUUUGGGGCUGCUGGUGGACAAGGUAGCUGCUGGGAACCUGUGUUCCUCUGUGGCCAUGACUUGAUAAAUCUGUGCUAUCCAGCCUACAAAAACUACCAUCUCCCACUCCUUCCUUGUCCAAAAGAAAAAGAAUUAGCUGUAUUUGUUUUAUUUUCUUUUUUCCAAGCUGCCUUUUACAUGUUCAAGAAAGUGUUGUGGUCACACUGAACCCACGGAUGAUGCUGGCUCCAUGUGCACCAGCUGCUCUCAGACACACCCUUCCUGCUGUUCAAGUGUCACCCCAAGAAGAAUCCAGGUGAGGGCAAUGACAAGUUGAUGCCAGUUGCCAUGGUGCUGCCCGGGGAGCAGGGGCUGAUCCCAGCUGCUGCCUAAGGAAAAACAUCACUUUGCUUCAUUGUGGCUAAGGCAGCUCGGCCAACUUGUGCCAAGCCCUGCCAGUCUCAUCUCUCCCCACACAACCAGCAGCUUAUACUGACCUUUAAAAAAAUAACUUACUAUGCUUUAAACUUUGCUGCAGCACAUGGAAAUUCAACCUGCUGAACAAAUGGUCCACAGACAAGUACAGCAUGUUAAGGGACACCCAGCAGUCAGGUAUGUUUGAGGGAAAAUACUGGAAAAAUGCUAUUGAUGUGAGGGUACUUUUAAUGCUGCACAAAAAUGCUGAGUCCUUUGUAAAAAUCUCCUGCAGCAUGAAAAAUGAUUUAAUGGAAUGAACAAUUUCUUCAUUUGAAAACAAUAUCAACACACUUAGAAGCCUGAGCAAGACGUGUAGCACAGUAUUUCCCUCCCGUGCUAAUAACUGCAUGCAGUAUGUACAGCUGAUGUACAUCAACAGAGCUAGUGAUUAAAAAAAAUUCAGCUGGAAACAGAUUCUAGCAGCAGCAGCAGAUUAGAAAUUACUAAGGGUUGGGUUUUUUCUGUGUUAUAUAUUAUUUUUCUGCCUUUACAAAAUCUUGUAUUGUCCAAUCAAUAAUUGACUAACGACCCUCUUGUGCUUUGUCGCUAUUAACCUAUUUCUUUAUGUGUUUCUGAUGGAAAAUGAUAAUAAAAUCUCUCUCUUUAUCAGUAAUAUGGAACACCCUGGGAAGCCAUAUUACUUCCAUAAAAAUUUAAUUUAAAGAACAGAACAUGCCCGUGUGCCAGUGGUAGGCUUAAAAUAUUAAAGAUUUUUUUUUAAAAAACCAACAUCCAACAAACCCUUAAAGCAGUUCCUCUCUGUACAAUAAUGGAGAAUAUAUAUCUUUGCUAUAUAUUUUAAACAUGGAAUAGCUUUUUCUCUUUGCUAUAUAUAUGUCUUUCAAAAUACAUUGUCAGUAUUUGUACUUGAAAAAUACUGUACAAAACAAACAUACUACAAUUAUUCUGUAUAAACUUUACACAUUUUAUAAUAUCUAUUCUUUUGGUCUAUAGUAAACACUUAAAUUGAUUGGAUUAACCACAGUAUAUGACAACACCAUCCCCCUCUAAAAUACACCAGUGUCUCUUACAUUCGUUUUUCAGAAGUCCACUUUAUAUCAGAACACGUGUGUUCAAAAGCAAAGAGAGUUUAAAACAACAAAGUUCAGAACCAUCAGUUCAUGUCACACUCGAAGCAACAAUCACUAGGAAAGAUGGGCUUUGCAAACCAGUGACAACUUCUAACUGAACAAAAGUGAUUUUUAAAACAGCAAGAUAUAAUCCACAGAAAA